GAUGAACGCUGGCGGCGUGCCUAAUACAUGCAAGUCGAGCGAACAGACGAGGAGCUUGCUCCUCUGACGUUAGCGGCGGACGGGUGAGUAACACGUGGAUAACCUACCUAUAAGACUGGGAUAACUUCGGGAAACCGGAGCUAAUACCGGAUAAUAUAUUGAACCGCAUGGUUCAAUAGUGAAAGACGGUUUUGCUGUCACUUAUAGAUGGAUCCGCGCCGCAUUAGCUAGUUGGUAAGGUAACGGCUUACCAAGGCAACGAUGCGUAGCGGACCUGAGAGGGUGAUCGGCCACACUGGAACUGAGACACGGUCCAGACUCCUACGGGAGGCAGCAGUAGGGAAUCUUCCGCAAUGGGCGAAAGCCUGACGGAGCAACGCCGCGUGAGUGAUGAAGGUCUUCGGAUCGUAAAACUCUGUUAUUAGGGAAGAACAAAUGUGUAAGUAACUAUGCACGUCUUGACGGUACCUAAUCAGAAAGCCACGGCUAACUACGUG
rnacentral:rRNA from 1 species